UCUUGUUUGUUUAAUACUCCUCUUUCUUUUCCCUUCCCUCAUUUUUGUCUUCUCAGGACAGCAGACUUGAGAGAAGUCACAUCUCAGAGCACUCAUCUUCCCUUACAGCCAGCAAACUGGAUCUUCUUGAAUGACUCUAAAGUUGGUUUCUCAGCCUUCAGUCACAGAUGGAACCUCACUAAACUGGCCUUGAACUUGAAAUCCUUCUUUUCCAACCUCCCAAGUAAUUGGAAUUACAGAUAUGAUGCCUUCAAGCGUGCUUCCAGUUAGAGCUGUUCCGGACAACAACUUCGGGCCCGCACCAUUGAUACCAGCCAUAUGGAAUGCUCAAGUAGCAGUUUCUAAAACUGCAUAUAGAAAAGAGAGAAGUUGAUGAUGGAAGAAGUGGAUCAGAUCUCUGGUUGCCUUCAAGAAUAUUUUCUGUAUAGUAAAGACAUGACGCAGAUUUUCCCAUCAGCACAAUUCCGGCACCGCCAAGCUGAGGAAAGCUGAUCAAUAGAAGUGGAUCAAAAGCUUUCUUCAUUUUUCUUGAGUACAUCUUUUUGAUGUUCUGAUCAGAUGGCAGAGUCUCAGUAGGCCACAACUGUGUUCUUCACUCCAACCCCAUCUCCCUCUAACAGCUGGCAGAAGUUCUGUCCUCACUAUGUUGGUUACUUUACCCAUGUUUCUUAAGCUAGUACAAAUCUUAGUAUCUUCCUAGAACUUCAUGGCUACUUUACUGGACAUCUAUAAAUAGUGGUCAUCAGACACUGCUGGCUUGCUGCCACAUUAACCCAGAGCUCCUUUGGAUACGAUUCAUUUUACUGCUACCAAUUUUGGUGAGAAGUGAUGCAACUCCUUCUCUCUUUCAUGGCCUUUCAUUACUAGCUUUCCAUUUCUCGUCAUCCUGGAACCACAUUUUUACUGGCCAGCCCGUUUUACCCGAUAUAGAAGUCUUCUUACUUUUGUAUGAAAAAAACUGCAGUAUUUUUUUUUUAAACUCGAAGGCUGGAUGCCAGAAUAUGGAGGUAAAUAGGAUUGGGGACAACUGCCCAUAGCAGGUGCUAAUUGUAUGGUGGGAAGAAGGUGACUAUUUCGGAGGUUUAACUUGCAAAGCCUCUAGUACUGUUUGUAAAUCCUAAGCUACUAAUUAGUGGUACCUUACCCAACAUAGUAGAAAAUGCUUUGUUGUUGCUGCUGUUCUUAAAAAUAUCCAUUCUCAGCCAUGGCUCCAUUCCUAUUAGCUCUCUGAAUCUUGAUACUGUGAACUCAGAUUGAUUUGUUUGCCUUAUUUUCCACUUCUUUUAGUAGUGUGUUUUUGUGAAUGUGUGUUUGUGUGCCUAUUCUAGUGUGUCUGGUACAUCUGUGUGUGAGUGCCCAUGUGGAGGUCAAAGGUCAUUCCACAAGAGUCACUCAUAUUUAUUUAUUUAUUUAUUUAUUUAUUUACUUACUUAUUUAUUCUUCUCUAAUGCAUUACAUCCCAAUCCGAAGUUUCUGCUCUCUCUACUCCUCCAAGUCCCCCCCCUACUCCCCUCUUCCCCCACAUUCACUCCUCCUUUGUUUCCCUUCAGAAAAGAGCAGGUCUCCCAGGGUAUCAACAGAACACAGCAUACCAAGUUACAGU